GAGGGAAUGAUGCACAAUGGCGGCAGAGCAUGAAUAUUCCUAUCGAAGCUGCAUAUUUACUGUGUCAGUCAGGAACCCACUCCUGAGGUUUCAGAAAGGAUACAGGUCUGUGAAAGGCACGGAUCCACUGCAGCUCCUACACAAGGAGGCAGAGAGGUGGCAGAGAACUAGAAGAAGGUAUCGCUGAAAUUUGGAGAAGAGGAAACCAGUGACAAUGAUUUCUGUUUUCAAUAAAUGGACAGGAGCAGAAGCUGGCUGUGAUUAACAGGUGAGUGGGUGCCGAGACAAUACAUGCAGCCAAAGUAGACAU
rnacentral:lncRNA from 1 species